rnacentral:rRNA from 1 species
GAUGAACGCUGGCGGCGUGCCUAAUACAUGCAAGUCGAGCGAACAGAUAAGGAGCUUGCUCCUUUGACGUUAGCGGCGGACGGGUGAGUAACACGUGGGUAACCUACCUAUAAGACUGGGAUAACUUCGGGAAACCGGAGCUAAUACCGGAUAAUAUUUCGAACCGCAUGGUUCGAUAGUGAAAGAUGGUUUUGCUAUCACUUAUAGAUGGACCCGCGCCGUAUUAGCUAGUUGGUAAGGUAACGGCUUACCAAGGCGACGAUACGUAGCCGACCUGAGAGGGUGAUCGGCCACACUGGAACUGAGACACGGUCCAGACUCCUACGGGAGGCAGCAGUAGGGAAUCUUCCGCAAUGGGCGAAAGCCUGACGGAGCAACGCCGCGUGAGUGAUGAAGGUCUUCGGAUCGUAAAACUCUGUUAUUAGGGAAGAACAUACGUGUAGGUAACUGUGCACGUCUUGACGGUACCUAAUCAGAAAGCCGCGGCUAACUACGUG